AUUGAACGCUGGCGGCAGGCCUAACACAUGCACGUCGAACGACUGUCGGACGGGUGAGUAAUGUCUGUGAAACUGCCUGCUGGAGGGGGAUAACUACUGGAAACGGUAGCUAAUACCGCAUACCCUCAGAUGUGCCCAGAUGGGAUUAGCUUGUUGGUGGGGUAACGGCUCACCAAGGCGACGAUCCCUAGCUGGUCUGAGAGGAUGACCAGCCACACUGGAACCGAGACAAGGUCCAGACUCCUAAGGGAGGCAGCAGUGGGGAAUAUUGCACAAUGGGCGCAAGCAUGAUGCAGCCAUGCCGCGUGUAUGAAGAAGGCCUUCGGGUUGUAAAGUACUUUCAGCGGGGAGGCGUUAACCGCAGAAGAAGAACCGGCUAACUCCGUGCCAGCAGCCGCGGUAAUAC
rnacentral:rRNA from 1 species